ensembl:lncRNA
AGGCAGACACGCAGACAGGCAGACACGCAGGCAGGUAGACACGCAGACAGGUAGACACGCAUACUGACGGACACACAGACAGACAGGCAGACAGGUAGACAGCCGGACACGCGGCAGGUAGACAGGCAGACACGCAGACAGGUAGACAGGCAGACAGCUGGACAUGCGGACAGGUAGACAGGCAGACACGCAGACAGGUAGACAGGCAGACACGCAGACAAGCAGACACGCAGACAGGUAGACAGGCAGACAGCCGGACACGCGGACAGGUAGACAGGCGGGCACGGAGACUGACGGACACGCAGACACACAGACAGGCCUCCAGAGUGGCGCCGUGGUCUAAGGCACUGCAUCACAGUGCUAGCUGUGUCACUAGAGAUUCUGGGUUCCAGUCCAGGCUCUGUUGCAGCUGGCCGGCAGGGAUGUCCUUGUUCCAUAGCGCACUAGCGACUCCUGGGUGCAGUGCAUGGUCGCCAGGUGUACAUUGUUUCCUCCAACACAUUGGUGCGGCUGGCUUCCGGGUUAAGUGGGCAUUGUGUCAAGAAGCAGUGCGGCUUGGUUGGGUUGUGUUUCGGAGGACGCACGGCUCUCGACCUUCACCUCACCCGAGUCCGUAUGGGAGUUGCAGCGAUGAGACAAGACUGUAACUACCAAUUGGAUACCACGAAAAGGGGGUAAAAAAUAUAUAUGUUAAAAGGCAGGCAGAUAGAUGGACAGGCAGGCGGGCAGGCAGGUAGACAUUCAUCAUAUAUGGCUUCCUCUAUGUAUUAACUGCAUGUUUCUAUAGCAGACCACAGACAGACAGGCAGGCAGACAGACAGGCAGACAGAUAGGCAGACAGACAGACAGGCAGACAGAUAGGCAGACAGAUAGGCAGAUAGAUGGAUGGACAGAUGGAGAGGAAGAUAUGCAGACAGGCAGAUAAACGAACAGACAGACGGACGGACGGGCAGGCAGGCAGAUAGAUGGACAGACAGAUAGACAGGCAGACAGGCAGAUAUGCAGACAGACAGGAAAAAUUUCAGGCAGACAGACAGAGACAGACAGACAGAUUCUUCUUGGACCUCGCUCAUCAACAAACUGUUUUCUGAGAUACUGAAUUUGGCGCGCUUGGCACAUAGUUUUGCCCAUUCUAACAUUCAGUUGAACAGUAACUGAAUGCCUCGAUGCCUGCUUUAUAUAGCAAGACACAGCCACACAACUCACUGUCUGUAACCCAGUUUUGUGAAAUGGGCGGCGGACCUAAUAAACUGGCCGGAGAGUGUAUAUCAUCGAUACAUGAAUAUAACAGUAUAUAUAGCAUGUUAACAUGGGGAUAUAUACAGUAUCAUCUAUACAUGAAGAUAACAGUAUACAGUAUAUGGGUCGAGUGUUGGUUUCUUGAGGAGAGGAGCGACUCGGGCCAUCUUGAAGUCAGUGGUCAGGGAUGAGUUGAUGAGUGAAGUGAGGAAGGGGAGGUCUCCAGAGAUGGUGUGGAGAAGGGAGGAGGGGAUGGGGAUGAGUUGAUGAGGGAAGUGAGGAAGAGGAGGUCUCCAGAGAUGGUGUGGAGAAGGGAGGAGGGGAUGGGGGUGAGGGAAGUGAGGAAGGGGAGGUCUCCAGAGAUGGUGUGGAGAAGGGAGGAGGGGAUGGGGAUGAGUUGAUGAGGGAAGUGAGGAAGAGGAGGUCUCCAGAGAUGGUGUGGAGAAGGGAGGAAGGGUUGAGCAGGCAGGAUGUCGGGCGGACGGACAUCACUAGUCGCAGGAUUUUAUCUGGAGAGAGAGGGGAGAAAGAGGCCAAAGCGUAAGGUAGUUCUGUGUGAGUGGGAUCAGUGGACUCAAUAGGCUGAGUGAAUGAGGAGCGGCUGGCGUCAACCUAUUCCCUAUAGUGAGCACUAUUACAACACUAUAGUCAAUUACUUUGGGCCAAAGUCUCCCAAAGCUGUCUAAUACAUCUGGUCUAAAGUAGUGCACUAUGAAGGGAGUAGGGUUCCAUAGGACUCUGGUCUAAAGUAGUGCACUAUGAAGGGAGUAGGGUUCCAUAAGACUCUGGUCUAUAGUAGUGCACUAUGAAGGGAACAGGGCUCUAGUCUAUAGUAGUGCACUAUGAAGGGAACAGUGCUCUGGUCUAAAGUAGUGCACUAUGAAGGGAACAGGGCUCUGGUCUAUAGUAGUGCACUAUGAAGGGAACAGGGCUCUGGUCUAUAGUAGUGCACUAUGAAGGGAACAGGGCUCUGGUCUAUAGUAGUGUACUAUGACAGGGAACAGGGCUCUGGUCUAAAGUAGUGCACUAUGAAGGGAACAGUGCUCUGGUCUAUAGUAGUGCACUAUGAAGGGAACAGGGCUCUGGUCUAAAGUAGUGCACUAUGAAGGGAACAGGGCUCUGGUCUAUAGUAGUGUACUAUGAAGGGAACAGGGCUCUGUAGAGGAGUUUGGUGCCAUUUUAGAUUGGCCCUGUGUGUAUGCAACAUGAUAUAUCUAAUGAUGUUAGAUUAUCUAUAUUAGUGUAAUUUAUGUUAUUUUAUCUAUAUUAAUGUAAAUUAUACUGUAUGAUGUAAAUGUCUCUGAAAAUAAACUGCCUGAUCCUAAAAGAACCAAUAAAAACCCAGAUGACAAAGCUCUCUGUCUCUCUAGAGCUCUAUGUAGAAUACCAGACCCAACCAUAAACCUCUAGACCAGGAGGAGACAAUCCUGUAGAGUACCAGACCUAACCAUAACCCUGUAGAGUACCAGACCUAACCAUAACCCUCUAGACCAGGAGGCGACAACCCUGUAGAGUACCA